rnacentral:rRNA from 1 species
GAACGCGCGGAUCAGGAGCUUGCUCCUGUGACGCGAGUGGCGGACGGGUGAGUAACACGUAGGCAACCUGCCCAUCAGACCGGGAUAACCACGGGAAACCGUGGCUAAUACCGGAUAACCCUUUUCCUCAUAGGAGGGGAAGUUGAAAGACGGUUUCGGCUGUCACUGAUGGAUGGGCCUGCGGCGCAUUAGCUAGUUGGUGGGGUAAGGGCCUACCAAGGCGACGAUGCGUAGCCGACCUGAGAGGGUGAUCGGCCACACUGGGACUGAGACACGGCCCAGACUCCUACGGGAGGCAGCAGUAGGGAAUCUUCCGCAAUGGACGCAAGUCUGACGGAGCAACGCCGCGUGAGUGAAGAAGGGUUUCGGCUCGUAAAACUCUGUUGUCAGGGAAGAACGUCCCCGUGAGUAACUGCACGGGGAGUGACGGUACCUGACCAGAAAGCCACGGCUAACUACGUGCCAGCAGCCGCGGUAAUACGUAGGUGGCAAGCGUUAUCCGGAAUUAUUGGGCGUAAAGCGCGCGUAGGCGGUCUGUUAAGUCUGAUGUGAAAGCCCCCGGCUCAACCGGGGAGGGUCAUUGGAAACUGGCAGACUUGAGUGCAGAAGAGGAGAGUGGAAUUCCAUGUGUAGCGGUGAAAUGCGCAGAGAUAUGGAGGAACACCAGUGGCGAAGGCGGCUCUCUGGUCUGUAACUGACGCUGAGGUGCGAAAGCGUGGGGAUCAAACAGGAUUAGAUACCCUGGUAGUCCACGCCGUAAACGAUGAGUGCUAAGUG